rnacentral:lncRNA from 1 species
AUGGCAGCAGCUGGGCCAUCUGCUGGCUCAGGCCCCCUGCAGCCCGUCAUGCCAACUGUAGAUCCAUUUGAAGACAUUAGUAUAAGGACUCAGAGGUUGGUUGAUUUGUUUGCAGUGGAUCCUGGCUGUGAUAAGGAAGUGUUAGCCCUCUCAGGCAGAUUUCUUGGAGACAAUAAAACUCCUGGGGAAACUACAGAAGAGACAUUGACUAGUAUUCUGGAUGUUACUGCCCUGGAUUGCAUUUACAGUGCUGAUAAAGGAGACCCACUGGAGAGUGAGAGACUAACCCAAAGAAAUUGGAUAAAUUCUUGUGGUCAGCCCCACCACCAUGGAAAACAUCUCUAACCCUUAUGUUGAAAUGAGGCAAGAGGUUAGGAGAUGUUAGCGUGGAAGUAGGGCCACAGGUGCCCCAUAUUAAAGUGGACUCCUUUAGGGGGCCAGCCCUGUGGCGUAGUGGUUAAGUUUGCUCACUCCACUUUAGCAGCCCAGGAUUCACAGAUUUGGAUCCUGGGUGCAGACCUAUACACCACUCAUCAGGCCAUGGUGUGGUGGCAUCCCACAUACAAACUAGAAGAAGACUGGCACAGAUGUUAGCCCAGGGACAAUUUUCCUCAAGCAAAAUUUUGGAGGAUUGGCCACAGAUGUUAGCUCAGGGCCCAUCUUCCUCACCCAAAACAAAAACAAGUGGACUGCUUUAAAAAGUUGCUGCUGCUGGAGACAAGCAUGAGUCAGCCAGAGGGUGCAAACCUAGUGGUCACAGAGGCUGGAAAGCAAUGUGGACUGUGCUGCUGAGUCAAUGGGUUCCGUGGUACAAGCAAAAGGAUCUCAUCACCCAAGACAGAAUACUGGGUGGGAUGAAAACAUUCAAAGCUCAUGGCUGAACCAAAGGUGCUGCCACACCGCUCAAAAGUGAAGAAAUACCAUCUCUUGCAGGAUUGCUCCUUCGUGGAUUCUCUUCGCCCCUCUAAGGUAAUACACCUAGGAGCAGAAUUGCUGAUCAUAUGAUUGUUCAUUGUUAGUGUAUAGAAAAACAACUGAUUUUUGCAUGUGGAUCAUGUAUCCUGCAACUUUGGAAGAUUAGCCCUGAGCUAACAUCUGCUGCCAAUCCUCUUUUUGCUGAGGAAGACUGGCCCUGAGCUAACAUCAGUGCCCAUCUUCCUCUACUCUAUAUGCGGGACGCCUGCC